rnacentral:lncRNA from 1 species
AUGGGAUCCGGUGCAUUUGUGCUGGUAUGAUCGCACCUGUUUCAUUUCGUGCUGCAAAUACAUAUACUCCUUCUCCUUUCUUCCCCCUCCCGUCAUUUGUUUCCUUGUUCGUGCGCACUGCACCUCCCGUUCUCGUUCAAAUAUCAAGUAAAAUACCACGGCGCCGUGACUCACAUUUGCGAAUAAACCUGCGGACCAUAAUUCAAGUCGCGCGUAACGUCGA